GAGGGUAUAGCUCAGUGGUAGAACGCGUGCUUUAGAAUGCACAAGGUCCUGGGUUCAAUACCCAGUACCUCCA
rnacentral:tRNA from 1 species